CACGUCCACGACGGCCUGCUUCGUGACGCGAUAGUACUCGAGCACCAAGCUCUUCCAGGCUGCUACCUGUUUGGCUCUCGUCUCCGUGUGAGGAACGCGCAACGGGGAUAUCGAGGAAUAAAAUUUUAUCCGCUCCGUUUAUAACCUAACCUCUCGGCUCGCGUCAAGUUUGACGAGGCGUGUUCGCCGGGACACGAUAUCGACGAACGUUUCGAUAAACGUUUUCGUUUAGUUUGUUUUCUAAUUUGUUGCGGACUCGUCGCGAUCGCGUGCUCGCCGUGAGGAUACUCACGUGAAGAACGGAGGGAAGCUGUACUGCCACGGCCACUCGAUCUCUGCCAUUGUUGUGACUGUCAGCUGUUACUGAUUGAACUGUCACGUAUAAUAAUGAUACAAAAAAGUUCAGUGAUCUCGUAGAGAGAUGAUACUUCAGGAGACAUGAUUACCAUAAGUAGAAAUGAAAAAUAAAUAAGUAAAGU